ACGUAAUAGUGUAACGACGGUUCCCCGACCGAGAGCGAAGGGGAUUAAUAGGGAACACGGUGAGGACGACCCGAAAAGGGGCCAAGACCGUGGCUGCCCCCGCAACUGUAAGCGGAUUGCCGUUCAUCCUCGUGACGUUGAAAGCGUCAUGCCACUGUGCCGGAGAAGCGCGGGAAGGCAGAUGAACAGCAGAUAUUCGUGAGCCAGGAGACCUGCCGUUUAGUGUUGUCCAUU
rnacentral:ncRNA from 2 species